CCCCCCCCCCAGGGCUCCUCACCUUCAGGUCUCUAUGUACAAUGAACUUCUGGUGACAGUACUGCACGGCAGACACUAUCUGCAAGAGACGGGGGGGUGUCACGGGGGGGGGCCCCCCCGCCCCCCAGGGGCGUCACACGGGGGUCCCCCGGGGUCGCGGUGUCCCCCCCCCGGGGGUCCCUAGGGGGUGUCCGUCCCCCCCCCCCUCCCCACCUGUCGGAACUUGGCCCGGGCCUCCUUCUCCUUCAUGCGCCCGUGGGCCACCAGGUAGUCGAAGACCUCGCCUGGGGGAGAGGGAGGGGGUGAGAGGUGGCCUUGUCCCUGUCCCCUGUCCCCCGUCCUUGUCCCCUGCCCUCUCCCUGUCCCUGUCCUUGUAUUUCGUCCUUGUCCCCAUCCCUCUGUUCAAGUCCUUGUCCCCUGUCCUGUCCCCGUCCCCAUCCUUGUCCCCAUCCCCCUGUCCCCGUCCUCAUCCCCCCGUCUCCAUCCUUGUCCCCUGCUCUGUCCCCGUCCCCCUGUCCGAGUCCUUGUCCCCUGCCCUGUCCCCAUCCCCAACCUUGUCCCUAUCCCCGUCCCCAUCCUUGCCAUCAUCCCCGUCCUCUUCCUCGUCCCCCAGCCCUGUCCCCAUCCCCGUCCCCCAUCCUUGUCCCCUGCCCUGUCCCCAUCCUUGUCCCGUCCCAAUCCUUGUCCCCUGCCCUGUCCCCAUCCCCAAUCCUCGUCCCCUGCCCUGUCCCCAUCCUUGUCCCUGUCACCCUGUCCCCUGCCCUGUCCCCAUUCCCAAUCCUCAUCCCCUGCCCUGUCCCCGCCACCAUCCCCGUCCCCACCCUUGUCCCCUGCCCUGUCCCUGUCCCCGCCCCCAUCCCCAUCCUUGUACCCUUCCUUGUCCCCCAUCCUUGUCCCUAUCCCCAAUCCUCAUCCCCUGCCCUGUCCCCACCACCAUCCCCGUCCCCAUCCUUAUCCCCUGUCCCCAUCCUUGUCCCCUGCCCUGUCCCUGUCCCCUUUCUUGUCCCCCAUCCUCGUCCCCUGCCCUGUCCCCCAUUCUUGUCCCUGUCACCCUGUCCCCAUCCCCAAUCCUCGUCCCCUUCCUUGUCCCCCAUCCUUGUCCCCAUCACCCUGUCCCCUUCCUUGUCCCAAUCCCCAAUCCUCAUCCCCUGCCCUGUCCCUGCCCCCCUGUCCCCGUCACCCCAUCCCCUUCCGUGUCCCCUGCCCUGCCCCCAUCCCCAAUCCUCAUCC
rnacentral:lncRNA from 1 species